ACAAAUGAUGAGACAUUAUUAUAGGAAUUGCCGUCUGAUCGACAAAUGACGCUAAUUUAUUUUCUGAAG